UACGUAGGGAGCAAGCGUUGUCCGGAAUCAUUGGGCGUAGAGCGCGCGUAGGCGGCCCCGUAAGUCCGCUGUGAAAGUCAAAGGCUCAACCUUUGAAAGCCGGUGGAUACUGUGGGGCUAGAGUACGGAAGAGGCGAGUGGAAUUCCUGGUGUAGCGGUGGAAUGCGCAGAUAUCAGGAGGAACACCAAUAGCGAAGGCAGCUCGCUGGGACGUUACUGACGCUGAGGGCGACGAAGGC
rnacentral:rRNA from 1 species